UACGUAGGGUGCAAGCGUUUGUCCGGAAUUAUUGGGCGUAAAGAGCUCGUAGGCGGUUUGUCGCGUCUGCUGUGAAAAUCCAGGGCUUAACCCUGGACCUGCAGUGGGUACGGGGCAGACUAGAGUGCGGUAGGGGAGAUCGGAAUUCCUGGUGUAGCGGUGAAAUGCGCAGAUAUCAGGAGGAACACCGGUGGCGAAGGCGGAUCUCUGGGCCGUAACUGACGCUGGAGGAGCGAAAGCAUGGGGAGCGAACAGGA
rnacentral:rRNA from 1 species